rnacentral:rRNA from 1 species
GACGAACGCUGGCGGCGUGCUUAACACAUGCAAGUCGAACGGAAAGGCCCUGCUUUUGUGGGGUGCUCGAGUGGCGAACGGGUGAGUAACACGUGAGUAACCUGCCCUUGACUUUGGGAUAACUUCAGGAAACUGGGGCUCAUACCGGAUAGGAGCUCCUGCUGCAUGGUGGGGGUUGGAAAGAUUCGGCGGUUGGGGAUGGACUCGCGGCUUAUGAGCUUGUUGGUGGGGUAGUGGCUUACCAAGGCUUUGACGGGUAGCCGGCCUGAGAGGGUGACCGGCCACAUGGGGACUGAGAUAGGGACCAGACGCCUACGGGAGGCAGCAGUGGGGAAUAUUGCACAGUGGGCGGAAGCGUGAUGCAGCAACGCUGCGUGCGGGAUGACGUCCUUCGAGUUGUAAACCGCUUUCGCAUGUGACGAAGCGUGAGUGACGGUAAUGGGUAAAGAAGCACCGGCUAACUACGUG